AGAAUCAACGCUGGCGGCGUGCCUAACACAUGCAAGUCGAACGAGAAAGUGGAGCAAUCCAUGAGUACAGUGGCGACCGGGUGAGUAACACGUGACUACCUACCCUUGAGUGGGGAUAACCUCGGGAAACCGAGGCUAAUACCGCAUAAUAUCGAGAGAUCAAAGGAGUAAUCCGCUUUUGGAGGGGGUCGCGGCUGAUUAGCUAGUUGGUAGGGUAAUGGCCUACAAAGGCGAAGAUCGGUA
rnacentral:rRNA from 1 species